AAGAGAACAACACGUAAGAGAAAUUGCUCAGGAAAGAAUCAACAACCAUCGCACAUAUUGUUGACUGUAACCUUUUUGUCGUGGGUAUUGUAGCGGAUAUUCCUUGUGACGGAAAUAAAAGAUUAUUUACUUUAAUAUUCACUUGGAAAGGCUGGUACAUGUAGCUAGAAAAAGUACAGUAUAAGAUUAAAGAAAGACUAGAAGAUUAUUACAAACAACAGGUGGACAUGUGUCACUGUCAAGCGAAUGAAGAUAAGCAUCACACUCGGUGGGAAUCUCCAGUUUCCAGAUGUAGUGAUCAUAACUGUAUAGGCACCAUUAACACUUUGGACUAGUUGGAGUAUUUUAGAGGGCUAGUCUGAAUUGAAUCCCCUGUCAAUAGUCAAGGCCAGUCAUGAACAUUGUGUUGAAGGAAAAUGUUAAAACUCUGAUUUUCCGCUUAACCAAUCAUUACUUUACCUUAUAUUCAGUGCGGUAAUGUAGGAAAUGGUUACUUUCUGGAACAGAGCUGUCAAUUAUUUUUAAUUUAUUAGCUUGUUAGUGUUAUCGUCGGACAGUUGUGAAGUAAAAACAUCAUAGUUUGACUGUAUACAAGUUGCCUUUAAGAAAGUAUGUCGAAAUCUUAACAGUUAUUCGUUGAUUUUGUAGAAAUUGACUAGAAUUCACCUUUGUU